rnacentral:rRNA from 1 species
CAGCCGCCACGGGAAUACGGAGGGUGCAAGCGUUAAUCGGAAUUACUGGGCGUAAAGCGCACGCAGGCGGUCUGACAAGUCAGAUGUGAAAUCCCCGGGCUUAACCUGGGAACUGCAUUUGAAACUGUCAGGCUGGAGUCUUGUAGAGGGGGGUGGAAUUCCAGGUGUAGCGGUGAAAUGCGUAGAGAUCUGGAGGAAUACCGGUGGCGAAGGCGGCCCCCUGGACAAAGACUGACGCUCAGGUGCGAAAGCGUGGGGAGCAAACAGGAUUAGAUACCCGAGUAGUCCCUGUCUCUUAUAC